CUGGCUCAGGAUUAACGCUGGCGGCGUGCCUAAUACAUGCAAGUCGAAUGGUAGCAAUACCAUGGCGAACGGGUGAGUAACACGUAGGUAACCUGUCUUUAAGCCGAGGAUAACCAUUGGAAACGAUGGAUAAUACUGGAUAGGACAUUUGAAGGCAUCUUUAGAUGUUUAAAGAUUUAUCACUUAGAGAGGGGCCUGCGGCGCAUUAGCUAGUUGGUGAGGUGAAGGCUUACCAAGGCGAUGAUGCGUAGCCGGACUGAGAGGUUGAACGGCCACAAUGGAACUGAGAACGGUCCAUACUCCUACGGGAGGCAGCAGUAGGGAAUUUUCGGCAAUGGGCGGAAGCCUGAACCCGAGCAACGCCGCGUGAACGAAGAAGUAUUUCGGUAUGUAAAGUUCUUUUAUUAGGGACGAAAAGACAGAUUGACGGUACCUAAUGAAUAAGCUCCGGCUAACUACGUGCCAGCAGCCGC
rnacentral:rRNA from 1 species